rnacentral:lncRNA from 1 species
GGGUGCAGAAGACGGGCGCCGUGCGGGGGGAGCACGGGGGGGACUGCCCCCAGGGCUACAAGCGCCUCAACAGCAGCCACUGCCAGGGUAGGCGGGCGUGCAAGGGGCGUGCAAAUGGGUGUGCAAACGGGCGUGCAACGGGCGUGCAGGGGGCAUGCAUUGGGCGUGCAUUGGGCAUGCAACGGGCAUGCAACAGGCAUGCAAUGGGUGUGCAACGGGCGCGCAAUGAGCGUGCAACGGGUGUGCAAUGAGCGUGCAAUGGGUGUGCAAGGGGCGUGCAGGGAGCAUGCAGGCGGGGGGGCGUGUGUGCAGCGGGGGGGGUGUGCAUGGGGCCGUGCAUGCGCACACGUGGCGCAAGCAAGCGGGGGAGCGCGUGUGUGCAAACACCGGGGGGGCACACGGGCGUGCACGGGGUGGGUGUGCACGGGACCGCGCGUGCAAGCACCACGGGGGUGUGCACAGCACCAGGUGUGUGCACGGUGCAGGUGUGCACAGCACCACACAUGCAAGCACCACAGGGACAUGCACAGCACCACGUGUGUGCAAGGAGCGGAUGUGCUCAGCACCCCCUGCACAGCGCAGUUGUGCACAGCACCACGUGUGUGCAAGCAGCGGAUGUGCUCAGCACCACGUGCAUGCAUGCACAGUGCAGAUUUUGCACAGCACCAAUGCGCGCGUGCCCGAUGCAGAUCUGCGUGCACGGUGCAGCCUUGCACAGGACCACGUGUGUGCAUGCACGGCGCAGAUUUGCACCGCACCGAUGCGUGCACGCACCUUGCAGAGUUGCACAGCACCACACACGCACGCAAGAGGCCGAUUUGCACGGCGCCGGUGCGUGCACCCUGCAGAGCUGCAGCCCCGAUGCACGCACAGCGCAGGUCUGCACAGCACCAGCGCAUGCACGAUGCAGACGUGCACGGCACCAGUGCACGCACCUUGCAGCCCCGAUGCACGCACAGUGCAGACGUGCACAGCACCAGCGCACGCACCUUGCGUAUUUGCAGCACCAGAGCACGCACAGUGCAGAUCUGCACGGCACCAGUGCACGCACCUUGCAGCUCUGCAGCCCUGAUGCACGCACAGUGCAGACGUGCACGGCACCACUGCACGCACCUUGCAGCCCCGAUGCACACACGAUGCACACGUGCACGGCACCAAAGCAUGCACCUUGCAGCCCUGAUGCACGCACAGCGCAGGUCUGCACAGCACCAGCGAACACACCUUGCGUAUUUGCAGCACCAGAGCACACACAGUGCAGGUCUGCACAGCACCAAUGCACACGAUGCAGACGUGCACAGCACCAGUGCACACACCGUGCAGCCGCGAUGCACACACGAUGCAGACGUGCACGGCACCAGUGCACGCACCCUGCGUAUUUGCAGCACCAGAGCAUGCACAGUGCAGAUCUGCAGCCCUGAUGCGUGCACGAUGCAGACGUGCACGGCACCAGUGCACGCACCUUGCAGCUCUGCAGCCCUGAUGCGUGCACGAUGCAGACGUGCACGGCACCAAUGCACGCACCUUGCAGCUCUGCAGCCCUGAUGCAAGUGCAUGCACCUUGCAGCCCCGAUGCACGCACGAUGCAGACGUGCACAGCACCAAUGCAUGCACCUUGCAGCCCCGAUGCAUGCACCCUGCAGCCCCGCAGCACCGCUGCAUGCACCUUGCAGCCCUGCAGCCCCGAUGCAUGCACCCUGCAGCCCCGCAGCACCGCCUGCAUGCACCGUGCAGAUCCGCGCCGCCCCACCUGCAUGCACGGUGCAGA